GAAGUAAUUGGAGAUGGGGGCCCUGAAAGAUAAGGCAACAGCUCAUCUUUCAGAACUGCAAGACAGUAGCAGAGUCCCAGAUUCUGAUGGGAAGAAACUGAGGAUAGCUAGAAGCAACAGCAGGAUAAGAAGGCUUUAGUGUUAGGUAGUCGAUUGAGAGAGAUAACCAUGGCUGCCCUGAAGGCUUCUGGAAAGUUACUUAAAGCACAGCUGUAGUCUGAACCAAGUAUCUUCAUCCUUCACUGCCCGGCUUUGAAUGCUGCUCUCUACUUUCAGCCUCUCAGGGAAGAUGGAAACAAAAGAAGAGGCUGUAAGACGGGCUGCUCUACCCUCCUUUGAAAGAAGGGAUAAAUAGAGAAGAGGGAAAGGGAAUAAACACUGAUUAAGCA